rnacentral:misc_RNA from 1 species
CUUAUUUUUAGCACAACGCAACUGCACCUCUUCAGAGUUCCAAUAGGAUACAAGGGCCGCCCAUUGAUCAGGAAGGACUCUUUUGUUACAGUCCUUCAAACGUUCCUCAUCAGUUGUAUGAGGGUUAUAAUGGUCAGCCUUCAACUGAGCUUUCCAGUUCCUCCAUUUUGAUGCAAGGGACUUCAUAACCCAAGUUUUGCAUGUGGGGUCAAUGUCAAACUUUGUCUGCACAAACUGCCACAUAUCCUCUUUGAUUGC